rnacentral:lncRNA from 1 species
AAGGUUAUUUUGAGAAUUUAAAAUUAUAGGGGGCGAAUUCGUACUCUAGGACUUCAAUAAAAUAAAAUUGAGUGUAAGGGGUUAAAUGAAAUUUUCUAAAUAAAAAAUUAUUAUAAUAUUCAUGAAUAUAAUAUAAAUAACAGCGAAUAUGGGAGGCUGGAUGAAAUUUCACAGCCAGGCCGUAAGUUACGUUAAACGUAACUUAGGCGGACCC